rnacentral:lncRNA from 1 species
AAAUCCUUCUCAUAUGCCUAAGGGAGAAGUGAACAUUGUUGGGCAUAUUUCAAUUUGAUCAUUAAUAAAACGCAAUUCUAUUCAUCCACGUCUAUGAUGUUUUUUUUUUACUUUUUGCUUUUCUGAAAAUGGUAAUCAUAAAAAACAUAAAUAAAUAAAUAAUAAUUGUCCAUUUGCAUAAUAUUUGGUCACAAUUCACUUCUCUAAAAUUAAAA